rnacentral:lncRNA from 13 species
CAACCUUAAUGUUAUUUUCCAGGUAGAAUAUUCUGCCUGAUCGGUAUCACUGAAGACCUCAAAAUGGAUACGGCCGCUCUCUGGGAGUGCAGUACAGGGAAGGAUUUGUGCUGGUAAACUCCAUGCACAAAUGGCAGUUGCAUAAUUGUAAAACUCAUCCUUCUUAUUUUGCAGACCUGUGGUUGUUUCACUUGUCCUCCAAGUCAUUGACAGGCCAGCUCUAGUAACCAGCUCUUUUUCAACGAGACCAUGAAGCUGCAGCAUGCAAGGUAGGAGGACUCUGUGAUGAUCUUGGGAUGCACUUGGAACUUCAUAACACACAGGAUAAAAGUCAAAUUUUCUUCUAGAUGUCUCCCUAUGAAUAAUAAAUUCAUCCUCAUAGCAGAUUCACAGCCUACAGACUUGGCCUUCGACUGGCUCCUCAAACAGAAGUGAUUUGCAUGUUUCUUUCAUUUUCACUCUGCUGCAGAAGCAUCUGUCCACGGGCUGGUGACCUUACCUGAACUUAAUUCCUUGGGUGCAUGCAAUGCUAUUUCACCUGGCUUCAUGGUAAGUUUUUCCUAUGAGUCAGCACAAAUUAGUUGAUUUCCUUGAACUUCAUUUAGGGAUGAUGGCAUGGUGUG